UACGUAGGGUGCGAGCGUUGUCCGGAAUUAUUGGGCGUAAAGAGCUCGUAGGCGGUGUGUCACGUCGGCCGUGAAAACCUGCAGCUUAACUGUGGGCUUGCGGUCGAUACGGGCAUCACUGGAGUUCGGCAGGGGAGACUGGAAUUCCUGGUGUAGCGGUGAAAUGCGCAGAUAUCAGGAGGAACACCGGUGGCGAAGGCGGGUCUCUGGGCCGAUGACUGACGCUGAGGAGCGAAAGCGUGGGGAGCGAACAGG
rnacentral:rRNA from 1 species